rnacentral:tRNA from 1 species
GAGGAUGCAGCUCAGUGGUAGAGUGUGUGCUUAGAAUGCAUAGGUCCUGGGUUCAAUCCCCAGUACCUCU